CCUUGUACACACCGCCCGUCAAGUCAUGAAGGUCGGUAACACCCGAAGCCAGUGGCCCAACCGCAAGGAGGGAGCUGUCGAAGGUGGGAUCGGUGAUUAGGACU
rnacentral:rRNA from 1 species